rnacentral:rRNA from 1 species
GUACCGAGUAAUGGGGGAUAACGCAUCGAAAGGUGUGCUAAUACCGCAUNCGCCCUGAGGGGGAAAGUGGGGGAUCGCAAGACCUCACGUUAUUCGAGCGGCCGAUGCCUGAUUAGCUAGUUGGUGAGGUAAAGGCUCACCAAGGCGACGAUCAGUAGCUGGUCUGAGAGGAUGAUCAGCCACACUGGAACUGAGACACGGUCCAGACUCCUACGGGAGGCAGCAGUGGGGAAUUUUGGACAANGGUCGCAAGCCUGAUCCAGCCAUUCCGCGUGAGUGAAGAAGACAUUCGGGUUGUAAAGCUCUUUCGGCAGGGAAGAAAUCGCUAGGGGUAAUAUCCUUGGCGGAUGACGGUACCUGAAGAAGAAGCACCGGCUAACUACGUGCCAGCAGCCGCGGUAAUACGUAGGGUGCGAGCGUUAAUCGGAAUUACUGGGCGUAAAGCGUGCGCAGGCGGUUUUUUAAGCCAGAUGUGAAAGCCCCGGGCUCAACCUGGGAACUGCGUUUGGAACUGAAAGACUAGAGUGUGUCAGAGGGAGGUGGAAUUCCACGUGUAGCAGUGAAAUGCGUAGAUAUGUGGAGGAACACCGAUGGCGAAGGCAGCCUCCUGGGAUAACACUGACGCUCAUGCACGAAAGCGUGGGGAGCAAACAGGAUUA